rnacentral:lncRNA from 1 species
CGCGGGCCGGGGCGCCGAGCAGAGCGACGCCGACUUUUGGAGCAGUUUGCGCCUGCGCGGAACGCGUGGCCGGCUUCCGGAAUCCUACCGGGACUUUUCCGGUAGCGAAGCCCGCGCCUGUGCCAAGGCUUGCGAGCAGAAUGCCUUCGCGAUGGACGCCCGCAUUCCACCCCCUUGACCGCUGGGACCCCUAGUGGCGGGUGGGUGGAGCGCGCUCCAUUUACCUGCUGGUUACCUCGUGAGGCGCCUCAGAUUCUUCUGGAGCUGGAGAUGAACUCGGACCUCAAGGCCCAGCUCAGGGAACUGAUUAUUACAGCAGCGAGGGAAACUGAAGUUGGUGGUGGUGAGAAAGUUAUCAUGGGCAGGUACAGCAGCUCACGCCUGGAAUCCCAGCACUGUGGGGAGCUGA